GUGCGGGCCGGGCAGCGCGUCCCGUUGCCGGGUGAGGCGGUGCCGCCAUGGCCGCGCCGGCAGCGGGGCGGGCGGCCCGGCAGGUGCAAGAAGACCUUCACAAACUUAAAAUGGAAAAUAUCAACCUGAAAGGAGCAGUAGAAGCUGUGGAUAUCAGUGACCUCAGAACAGCACCUGAAAGAACUGAACUUGGGCUGAGAAAACGUGCUGAAAAUUACUUAAGUGCUGUAAAUGGACAAGUGUUACCUAUUUGUUCUGCUGGUAAUAAAGAAGUAAAUUCAAAGGAGCCCCCUAAAUGGGCCCUUCCUGCUGGGGCUCCUCAGGAGCAGCUGGUUCUGCCUCGAGUGGCUGUGGAGCCUGGGAGUGCCCAGAUGUGCAGCAGAUCAGCACCUCGAGUGGCUGUGGAGCCUGGGAGUGCCCAGAUGUGCAGCAGAUCAGCACCUCGAGUGGCUGUGGAGCCUGGGAGUGCCCAGAUGUGCAGCAGAUCAGCACCUCGAGUGGCUGUGGAGCCUGGGAGUGCCCAGAUGUGCAGCAGAUCAGCACCACGGGGGUCUCACGGCUCUCAGCAGCAGGUGGAAAUGGAUAUUAAAAUCAUGCUUGUCCCAGAGAAUGUGGAAAAUAAAGCUGCUUUAAAACAUCAGAAUGAUGAGACCAGGCUGCCACUCAUAACUAAGAAAAGAUCUGCUCCUCUGUGCAGUCAGAAGACAGGGAAAGGCCACCCAGCUGCCACCCUUUGUGCUUUCCCUGCCUUUCCACCCCCGGAUUCUCCCCUACCCCAGCUGGGAGAGGACACCCCAAAAGGUGCUCUGAGCCUGACUGGCCAAAGGCUCAUCCUUCCAGCAGCACAGGUAACUCUGCAGACCCCUCCUGGUGUCCCCAAGGCAGCCCCUUCCCGUGAAUUCCACAGGCAGGCACAGAAAUCAGCUGGAGGGCAGAUUAGCAGCAGGCUGGACCCUGGGAAUACAGACCCCACCACCUUCCCAAACUCCAAGGAAGCAAUUUAUGGCACAUCUUCCUCCAGCCAAGGGAACAUUGCACCUCCUCCACCCAGCAGCUCCGUGGCUUCAACAAGGAAAUCAAAGCCAGUGAGGACAAAUCCAGCUCAGCAGGGGGAAUCUGAGGGGCAGAUUCCCUCUCAGACACAGCCCCCCCAGGCGCCUCCACGUCAGUCCUUGCAGGAUCCACGCUCGGACUGGGACAUUGUUGUUUGCCAUGGCACAGUAGACCAGAAAGCUCCAGGUUUUCUGGCACUCAAACAACAUCAUCCUUUAUCCUGGGGGAGCAUUGUGGCUUUUUUGGAACACGCAGAAAAGCUUCUCAAGGACUCCUCUGUCCCCUUGGCCACCAUCAGCGGCACAAAGCUGGCACGAGUCGCCUCAGACUUCGAGCUCCACGAGAAUCCCCCCAAAAGCGCCAUUUUGUCAGUGCUGAAGAAUCAAUCAGCCGUGGAAAAGAUCCUAAAUCCACCUGGCCGAAGAUCCCGAGGCCGAGGGGGUGCCGAAAGGGCCGCCGUGAGGAUCCAAAGGGCGUGGCGACGUCACCGGGCCGGCCGGGCCGGCGCGCGUUGCGGGCAGCGGGAACGGGGGGCAGGUGCCAUCGACACUGCCCGGCGCUGCCGCAGCCACACGGCACGUGUGACACACACCCCCAGGGCAGCUCGGCACACGCACCUGGAGAAUUUCUGCAGCAGGGCCAAGCAUCUGGCAGCCAACUGGAAUCGCAUCAGGACCUCCAGGAGGACUAUUAUCCAUAUCCCAUCAUUAGGCUAUUCCCAGCACAUCCGUGAGCACAUCCCUGACCUUGCUGUGCAGCAGAACAUGCAGAUGGGAAGGCUCUGUGACAUCCUGGAUGCCAACGUGGACGUCAUCUACAUCUGCCCCCUGGCCCUGAGUGAGGAGUUGCUGCACUAUUACAGCAGACUGCUGGGGCUGCAGGCAGCUGUCAGGUCUGGGAACCCCCAGGCCAGGGCUGACCUGCGGGCCAGGUUCAGGAUUCUCACCCCUGAAGCCAUCGACAGCUUCCCCCAGCACCACACGUGCCUGGCCACUCAGCUCAAGCACAGUCCCAGGACGGUGCAGAUGAUCCAGGGGCUCAUCCGGAGCAGGGAUGCCUACGUGGUGGGGGGCGUUCCCCACGCCGAUGAGCUGGCGGUGGCCGACAUGCUCGACGUGCCCCUGCUGGGCCCGGGGCCGCAGCUGGCUCAGCUCUACAGCACCAAGUCUGGCACUAAGAGGAUUUUUGCCAGUGCUGGUGUGCCAACCCCUCCUGGAGAAUGGGACCUCCACAGCAGGGAGCAGGUGAUUGGUGCCCUCAGCCGGCUCGUGGUGGACAACGUGGAGGUGCAGCGCUGGGUGCUGAAGAUGAAUGAUGAAUGUGGAGGAAAUGGCACUGCCUACUGUGAUGUGAUUUCCCACUUGGAAUGCUCCCACUGGCUCCAGAAGGAAUGGCAGAGCCACGGCCCUGAGAGGUGGAGUAAGAGCCAGGCACGUGAGCUGGCUUUGGUGAGGAUCUCCCAGGAGCUGCCGGGCCUUUUAGCACAGCACGUACAGCCAGUCAAUGAGAAACGAUUCCCUACAUGGGAAAAAUUCCUCCAAACAUUCCUCACUCAAGGUGGAGUGAUCGAAGCCUUCCCGCUCUCCGGCACUGUCACCAACCUGACGGUGGAUCUGCUGAUCGAGCCGACAGGGGACAUCAGCAUCGUGUCCUCUGGGGACCAGCUCCACGCCGAGGGGCCCUUCAGAUCCUCUGGGACCACCAUCCCGCAGCGCUCCGUGGAUCCAGCGCUUCUCAACUCGCUCUGCUGGAAAAUUGGGGCCGCCUGCAGGUCCAAAGGGCUGCUUGGCUACCUCUCCGUUGACUUUGUGGCUUUCACCCAUCCCCAGACGAUGGAGCAGCAGGUGUGGGCAACAGACCUCGACCUGUGCUACAGUGACCAGCUGGCCCUGACCCAGCUCGUGCUGUUCCUGACAGAUGGAAACCUGGAUUGUGGCUCCAGCCCCCUGGAAGCACCUCCUGGGUCCCAGGCAGUGAAGAGCCAGCGGAUUCAGCGUGAGGGGACAAAACCUCCUGCCCUGGGCAGCCCCCGCUGUGCAGUGGCCAGCACUCAGCUCAGGCACUCCAACCUGGCAGGGACCUCCUACAGCCUCCUCCUGCAGAGCUGCAAAGCUCGUGGCGUUGGAUUUGACCUCCAGGAGAAACAGGGGACAGUUUUUCUCCUGUAUGAAGACCAGAAGCGCCACAGACUGGGAAUGAUAACAAUCGGAGAGGAUCUCCAGGGGGUCCUCCUGACCUUUGCUCGCAAUCUCUUCAUCAUCCAUCAAGAAAUAUCAGCACCUAAUAUGCAAGGCGAGACCAAUUUUAAGGUGAGGUGUUAAUUAACUAACGAUCCCGGGUAAUUUCUGUACAGGGCCUGCAAAUACCUCAUGCUGGAUCAUAAACAAGUGCUAAAGCAUUCCCUUUUCAUCGUCGGUGCCGGGUGUUUUACAGUGUCUGGGUCACUGCAGGCAGCCUCCCACUGAACCUGUUAGUUAAAUUUAAGUUUGAAACUUUUGCUUUGAAAAGAGACAAACUCCAGCAGGAAACUAUUUGUAAUCUAAUGCUCCCCAGCGUCCUUUGGAAGAGCAAAGGAGCUGUUGGCACUGCCUCACACGGUUCUGUCACAAUUGCCUGCCCGAUUUUCAAGGGACACCACCAUCAAGAUGGCAAUUCAAGAUAUUGAAGCAAUUUUAGGAGUUACAGCAGAAAACAAACUGAAAUUGGAAGAAGAGCAACCUUGGGAAGCAGAUGCUCUGAAAGAAUAGUUAACAGAAAAUGUUUUAAGUGCCUGAUUCCUUAUGCCUCUGGAAGUGCUUCCUCAUCUGUAAGAACAGGUUUGGGUUUUUCUUCCUGUGUUGUUGUGUGAAGCAACAUUAACUGAGAGAGAACAUCUCCAUCAUUUCUGGCUGUGGUGUUUGGAAUGUCCCUUCUUUCCCCAAAAAAAGCCCUGUUGAAGAGCAGGGGGUCAUCCUGAUGCUCCUCGUGUUGCUGUUGCUGAAGUUCAGUUGUGCUGCUGUUUCCAUUAUCUACACAUUUUUGCAGCAGUUGUUUUAUGUUCAUUUUCAAAUUUUCAAAAACAACAGUAAUAGCACUAAUUCAUCGAUAAAUCCUGCGAGGACCAUUAUAAUUCCACUUGCACUGUGGUUCCCAGGCUUCCAUGACUUCUGCAGGUCUCUCCAUCAGACAGAUUUUGUUAUUUCAGAUAUUUUUUGUUGCAGUUGCUGUGCACUGUAUUAAGGCCAACAGUUACAUUUCUAAAAUUAUCAUCAGUAUCCCAAGAGAGAUCACAUUCUGAAUUUUCUUAUAGAAUCUUCUUUUAUUAUAGCAUCUUCUCUGUGGGAUGGAGACUAUUAUCCCAAGCAUGGCAAGUGUCUUUGGGAUGACUUCCCAAAAACCUCAUGGAACACCAGUUUUAAGACAAACACUGACUGGGACCAAGAUCAGUGCCCAGUUUUUCCAGUGCUGACUCUUUGAUCCCUGAACAUCCCACAUUAUCUUUUGUGUAGCCUUUCUCUCUUCCACUUUGGUCACAGAAUUAAUUAAUUGCAGAUGAGAACAUUUGCAUAAAUGCUCAUCCCUGCUUCAAAUAAAAAUCCAAGAGAGUGUUUUUGUUUAA